rnacentral:rRNA from 1 species
UACGAAGGGGGCUAGCGUUGUUCGGAAUUACUGGGCGUAAAGCGCCCGUAGGCGGGUUGUUAAGUCAGGGGUGAAAUCCUGGAGCUCAACUCCAGAACUGCCUUUGAUACUGGCAACCUAGAGACUGGAAGAGGUUAGUGGAAUUCCCAGUGUAGAGGUGAAAUUCGUAGAUAUUGGGAAGAACACCAGUGGCGAAGGCGGCUAACUGGUCCAGCACUGACGCUGAGGUGCGAAAGCGUGGGGAGCAAACAGG